AAUUCGAAUGAUAUACGUUAAUUUAAUAUAAGUUCAAGACACAUAAGGGCUCUAACCAUAUUUCGACUUGUAAUCAAUCCGUAGAUACCGAUGGAAAAUAAAUAGGCACUCAAAACAAGUACAUAACAAGUACAUGUUCAAGCAUCAUUAACCAACUCCUUAUCAAUCUCGAUUCAUUUCAAUAUGAACAAUAAUUCAAGCGAUUCGAUUCUAACAACAGGGAAUAUAUUGGUAGUAGAUCUACCUAAAGCUAAAGCAUUUCUAUUUUAGACAGGAAUUCAAAUUAAAGGAUUAUAACAUUCAUAUCCGUUGAUUUUAUGGCGAAUUUUGAAAG
rnacentral:lncRNA from 1 species